ACCAAUUUUAGCUCUCACUAAUCCAAUGUAUACUCUCUCUCCCUCCAUGUAUGUAUGUGUGUGUGUGUAUAUAUAUAUAUAUACACACACACACACAUACAUACAUACAUGGAGGGAGAGAGAGUAUACAUUGGAUUAGUGAGAGCUAAAAUUGG